GGUUGAGCCUUAUGGCUCCGAUACUGGGAGACGUGGUCGUAAGACUCCUCGGGAGUCAGAGACUCUCGAGGAGCGAGAAAGGAAGCGGCUGCGGGACUUAUUUGCAGAACCAUCUGACGAGGACUCCUUUGAGGGUUUUACCGAGAGAAUGGAGGAAGAGAUGGUUAGCUCAGAGGAGGAUGACAUGGAAUGGACUCGUGUGAGGGAGGAUUUGGGUGCCACCGGCAAUACUAGUAUGGAAGGCGAUUGGGGACCUUCAGGAUUAGACCCGUGGACAAGUUGGAGGGAUGGAACGGGAUCCACAGCUGGGGAUGCUGUGGGGCGUAGUCAAAGGUGUUUCAGCUCUGAUGAGGAGGAUGAUGAUGAGACACCUGGAAUUAGGGUAACAGCUGAUAGCGAUGAGGAGUUGUAAACUGGCAUAAAAUGGGGUUUAGAAUCCAGGGCUAAUUGCGUUGGGCAAGGUAAUCUGGACGAACGCUUGGGCUCUGGUUGGGAAUUUCCUGAAGACGGGUGUGAUUCGUUUGCUGAAUACCUUGGACCUCCGUCGUCUUUUUGACGGACGCUAAUUGCCUACUCUGGACUGACUGACUGACUGACUGGCUGACUGACUGACUAUGACCUCGGACUAUCCUUCCUGUGGCUAUCGUUGGAACUGGUGAACUACAAACAUCUGUACCUGGCUUACGACCUUCGGACCGGAUUGGGACCUCGCUGACCGCUGCUGCCCCUGAUUGAUGUGUUUGAACUCGGAGAUUGUUUGCUGCUCGGAGGAGUAACUUCUUAGUUACUCAAUCACAGCUUUUGGUUGCAGAGAAGUAUCUGCUGCCAGUUAUUUGUGUUUCUUUGAACCUUUGUUUACCAUCUUCUGUUUGUUUAUAGUCCCAGGCUGAAGUAAGCAUUUUUGGUUUAACCCGGAUUAAACUCCAGUUUAAUCCGGUUUAUCUUUUGAACGUUUUUUAGUUCCUUUUUACUUUGAAGGCCAGUGUUUGCCUUGCCCUUUGUCUUUUACGGGCAUUUUUGGUUCUGUAACUUUAAUAAACUGUGUUGAAUCUUA